CGACACGCCUGGAUACAGAGAGAAGUCUGAUGUUGAGAAGGCUGAGCUUCAUGGAAAUUUCAGUUCCUUUAAAGUAAUGCCAUCUUUAGGAUAAUUGAUCGAAUUGUAAUAAAGGUUCAAAGUCACAUUAUUAAUUUCUGAGUUAUGAUUAAAGUUCCAUUAUUCGAUCGUUGGUGGUCGCGACCUCGAAAUUCAUUAAAGAUGUCUAAUACUAGAAUGAGGAUAAAUAAUAAAAAUAUUGCCGACCUCCGGCGGUGAGAAAGGAUCACGGGAAGGCGAGGAAUUCAUUAUAUGGGUACAUCCAGCUACCUUGAUGUUACGGCCACCAAUCAUUA